rnacentral:rRNA from 1 species
AUUGAACGCUGGCGGCAGGCCUAACACAUGCAAGUCGAGCGGUAGAGAGAAGCUUGCUUCUCUUGAGAGCGGCGGACGGGUGAGUAAUGCCUAGGAAUCUGCCUAGUGGUGGGGGAUAACGUUCGGAAACGGACGCUAAUACCGCAUACGUCCUACGGGAGAAAGCGGGGGAUCUUCGACCUCGCCCCAUAGAUGAGCCUAGGUCGGAUUAGCUAGUUGGUGAGGUAAUGGCCCACCAAAGCGACGAUCCGUAACUGGUCUGAGAGGAUGAUCAGUCACACUGGAACUGAGACACGGUCCAGACUCCUACGGGAGGCAGCAGUGGGGAAUAUUGGACAAUGGGCGAAAGCCUGAUCCAGCCAUGCCGCGUGUGUGAAGAAGGUCUUCGGAUUGUAAAGCACUUUAAGUUGGGAGGAAGGGCAGUAACCUAAUACGUUAUUGUUUUGACGUUACCGACAGAAUAAGCACCGGCUAACUUCGUGCCAGCAGCCGCCGUAAAAC